rnacentral:rRNA from 1 species
GGAAGUAAAAGUCGUAACAAGGUUUCCGUAGGUGAACCUGCGGAAGGAUCAUUACUGAACCGCCGACAUGAGUUGUUGCUGGUCUCCAAACGGGGGCAUGUGCACACUCUGUUUGUGCAUCCACUCACACCUGUGCACCUUCUGUAGUUCUGUGGCCUGGGGGACUUGUCCUCCUGCUGUGGUUCUGCGUCUUUACACUCACACUGUGAUAAAGUCUAAUGGAAUGCAUGCCGCGUUUAACGCAAUAUAAUACAACUUUCAGCAACGGAUCUCUUGGCUCUCGCAUCGAUGAAGAACGCAGCGAAAUGCGAUAAGUAAUGUGAAUUGCAGAAUUCAGUGAAUCAUCGAAUCUUUGAACGCACCUUGCGCCCUUUGGCUAUUCCGAAGGGCAUGCCUGUUUGAGUAUCAUGAACAUCUCAACUCCUCACGGUUUGCCCGUGAUGAGCUUGGACUUUGGGGGUCUUGCUGGCCUGCAGGUCGGCUCCUCUCAAAUGAAUCAGCUUGCCAGUUUUUGGUGGCGUCACAGGUGUGAUAACUAUCUACGCUUGUGGUUUUCUGCCAGGUAACCUCCAGCAAUGGGGGUUCACUGGAGCUCACAAAUGUCUCUCCUCAGUGAGGACAGCUCUUG